GCCGCGUGUGUGAAGAAGGCCCUCGGGUUGUAAAGCACUUUCAGCGAGGAAGAACGCCUGUCGGUUAAUACCCGGCAGGAAAGACAUCACUCGCAGAAGAAGCACCGGCUAACUCCGUGCCAGCAGCCGCGGUAAUACGGAGGGUGCAAGCGUUAAUCGGAAUUACUGGGCGUAAAGCGCGCGUAGGUGGCUUGAUAAGCCGGUUGUGAAAGCCCCGGGCUCAACCUGGGAACGGCAUCCGGAACUAUUAGGCUAGAGUGCAGGAGAGGAAGGUAGAAUUCCCGGUGUAGCGGUGAAAUGCGUAGAGAUCGGGAGGAAUACCAGUGGCGAAGGCGGCCUUCUGGACUGACACUGACACUGAGGUGCGAAAGCGUGGGUAGCAAACAGGAUUAGAUACCCUGGUAGUCCACGCCGUAAACGAUGUCGACCAGCCGUUGGGUGCCUAGCGCACUUUGUGGCGAAGUUAACGCGAUAAGUCGACCGCCUGGGGAGUACGGCCGCAAGGUUAAAACUCAAAUGAAUUGACGGGGGCCCGCACAAGCGGUGGAGCAUGUGGUUUAAUUCGAUGCAACGCGAAGAACCUUACCUACCCUUGACAUCCUGCGAACUUGUGAGAGAUCACUUGGUGCCUUCGGGAGCGCAGAGACAGGUGCUGCAUGGCUGUCGUCAGCUCGUGUUGUGAAAUGUUGGGUUAAGUCCCGUAACGAGCGCAACCC
rnacentral:rRNA from 1 species